CUUUAAUUAAAUUAAUAGUCAAAGCAAGGCAGCAUGAUGCAGUGUAACUUCAUCUCUGCAAAGUCUGUUUCUCAGUAAAGUUUAGCAUUGAUAAUUUUGAAUUUACUAAGUCUCCUGUAUUCAGGAGGCUGCCAUAAAUAUAUGACAGAGUAAAGACACUUUCCUUCUUUAAAUGAAGGCUAGAAAUACUUUUCAUCACUACUAUUUUAAGCAUGGUGAUCUAAAAAGCAAUUCUGUAAGAGGGAGUUUACUUUGAAGAGAUGUCAAGAGUUCCUGAACAUUUUUUUGCCAUUCCUUCAAAGAGCUCAAUAUUUGUUUUUCCUCAGUAUGAGUACUCGUUUCUUUUGGAGGAAUCUGUUUACACUGAAGUUUGCAAUUCUGCAUGCUUAGAAGACCAGUAAUUUUACAGGCUUUAGCUCUAAAAACGCAACCUUCAGCCUUCCAGGAACAUCUUCCCCCUGCAAUUUGUUACCCAUGCAAAGCACCGGGUCCAGGUAUUUCCGAGCCCAACCAAUGGAUUGUAUUGCAGAAUGCCAAAGCAGUGAAAAUGGAAGACCAGCAUCACCCUGUAAUAGGCAGAAUCCUCGUGGGGGCGCAAACAUAGCGGAGGGCACGAAGGUCCUCCCAGCACUGUGCCAGUACAGCAUGUUGACAGCUUUCAGAGGUUGCCAGCAGGGAAGGGCAGUGCUGUACCGCCACUGCAUGAGGCCUAUUGCCUGCAGGAGCUUCUCCUCACGGCAGCGAGUGCCACAGACUGGAAAUGAGAAGACCAUUCGCAGUAACGUGAGGAGCAAAACUCUGCAGCGAUUGGAGAGAGGCCUGAGGAGCUGGCAGAAGGGUUGUGCACCCCAACAGAAGUUUCCAAAGACAGAAAAUCGCUUUUGGCUGGGGAUCCCUGGGGGUUCGGUGAGCUACCACUGCUUACCUCGCCUGGGGGUGCCUCCUCUCCCUGGACCGCCGUGUGACACGAGCGCCAGGGGCGAGCAGACUGCCUGCUGGUGGGCCAGACCUGUGCUCAGCGAUCUUGGUGGAGAAGAGGUAAUUAUGGAAGACAAGUUUCACACAGUCCCCAAAUUGCCUGGUAUCCAAUGCUCAGCUGAGAUAAGCUGGUGCCUUGCUAGUGGCCUGCUGACACAGAGCAACAGCAGGCCGGGUCCCUGAUGUGCUUUGGGGAAUGUGUUGGACAAGACCCAUAAAGCUGACAGUGAGACUGAAAAGUCAGAGGAUCUUCAAUGAAAUAAGACACCAGAAGAAUGCUGCAAGUACAGGAUAAACAACUUUUUGAGUGUUAAGUUGAAGAACACUCUUUGAGGCUACUGGGCUGGCUUAACAUCUUAUCAGCAAGAUGCUUGGACCAUGGGACGUAGCUGAGCAGCACGCACUGAAGCAGUCCCAGCUGUCCUGCCCAGGUUCCCACAUGUGUACGGCACAGGGAAAGUGAGGAGCUGCAAGCUGAAGGGCUGCAAAGGAGGAAGCGAAGACGGUGAUGAGCUGCUGUGUGCCCCAGCAGAGGUGGGUGAUGCAGGAGCAGCUCCUCAAGCACAGCCAUCAGCACAGCAGAGACAGAAAGGCACCUUCUUGUUCCCUUCAGUGGACACGGAAAUCUAUUGGUCCUGGUAACCUUAUGUCUGAAAACACAUUACCUCCUACUCCACAAGCUCCUACUACCAUAAAAAUUGCUUGUUGCAAACUGAGCUGAGUCACGUAUGGGCAUCUUUUCCCUGAUUCUUUGUGAAGGGUCCACUCCAUGAAAAUACGAAAACCUUGGGGAAAAAAAAGAUCCACAUAUAAAUACUGAAGAACGCAAGUCAUAAAGCAAUUCACAUUUUUUCCAGCCGUGACGAGCACAUAAUGGCAGCUCCAGGUGGCACACGGCUCUGCAGCAAGGCAUCGAGCGAGAGGCAGCAGCUGUUAGUGAGCCGUGGCAAAUGCCACGUGUUCACGUUCACAGCCCAGGUGGCUGCUCACAGGAUGCAGCAGCAGCAAACCCAUCCGCUGGGGCAGGAGCACCAGGCAGCGUGCUGGAGCUCGGCACGGAGCAGUGUCCAGAGGCUGUUGUGAACCGCAAGCGUGCUGGCUGCAACACAGCAGAUUGCAAAACAAAAACAAACAAACAAACGAAUAUCUGAAGCUUUCUUUGUGGAAACGAGACAUUUCACCAAAAAAAAUGCGCCUCGUGGAGACAGAUCUGUUAUGAUGCUAAACUUUGGGUGAAAAUUUUGGGGACCAGGGCGAGAGCCAGACCCCUGUCUCAGAUUCAGCAUAUACACGACAUCAAAGCAUUUCAGUGAAUUCUUCAUUCCAUUUACAUGCCAGCUCUCUGGUGAUGGAGUCAGACGUGUUGUGGUAGUCCUGCAAGCCAUAAAGCCAUCCAGCUUCUCUGCCACUGCUGCAGUUCUUAUUGCUGCAGCAUGGCUCUCAGGAGUGUGGUGCAGCGGGGACCGGACAGUGACGUGGCUGCCUGGGCUCUGGAUGCUCACCUUGGCCAAAGCAUCACAUCGCACAGGUGCCAGGUUUCGACUCCCCAUGCAGCUCUUGCCAUGUGGGCACAGCGGCCUAAGGACAUGUUGGGAACCACGUGCAGUAAGGAUGCUACGCAGCCAUGCCAAACUCUGGGGUUUGAUGUUUGGGUUUUGGUACAAAAGAAAAAGGAAAAUGAGGGCUGCUCUGGGACAGCCCUGCUCAGAAGUGAUGGCUGGGGUGAGGUGUUGACCCCAUGGCUCUGCAGGAUGCUGUUGUCAUACAGCUGCAGGAACAGAGCAGGCUGGCUGAGCACUGCUCAUCCACCUCAGUGCAAAGUUACUCUCCUAAUGGAUAUUUUUUUCAAAGUUACUAAGAUGUUACCUAGUUACCAUAGCCUGGUAACCAUUUAGACAGAUCGGGGCUUUUCCUUACCACCAGGUAGGCAAGUGACCCUCACUGAGUCGGUUGGUCCAGUGACACUGAAACCACCCAGCUGCAAAUCUGAGUGACACUCCAUAAGAAAUUUAUUUGAAGCGUUCAGAGGAACACUGCGGUAUGAGAUGAGUUAUGAUUAGUCUUGACAAUGCUAAUUCAAUUUAAAAUAUGCUUAACUGGUUUAAAAAUAAAACUUCAGCCUCCCUUCCACUGCAACCCAGUCCUGAAGCUAUUUCAGCGUGUGUUGCCCAUCCCAUGCCUUGUUUUCUGAUUCGGCUGCGAGGUUACUAUUAAUAGCCCAGAAGCUGGGGGGAGGAAGUGUGACUACCGAGUUCUGCAAACAGUUUAAUGUGCGCGCGCUUCUCGGCUGUGGGCGAGUGGUGCCAGCCCGCCCCGUGUGCCGCCGGGGUCAGCCCUGGCCACAUUGGACCACCCAUCCCUCCCCGCGCGCGUUGCUAAGAGACCUGCUCUCCUCCGCUGAGCUUCGUGGAGAGGAGCACAUCAAAGACACCCACAGCCCUGAAUGGUUUUAUAAAUGAAUUUAAAGAGGCACUCUCUCGUGCUGUGUUAUGCGGGGGGGAGAUCAAAAGUUGCUCUAUGUGCGGAGAGCAGCUGGAGAACUGAACUGGCUUCUUCUGGAAAAUAAGUGCUCUCAUUACUGAGAACCAUGUUGUAUUUACUUUUCUUUUCUUUUUUUUUUUUUUUUUGCUUUUUUUCAGAACUAGACUACAAAUUUAUGCUAAUUAAUGUUUUCAGUUUUAUGGCAGGCAAGACAUUGAACGCAGGCCAGGGUGCGUGUUUGUACGACUUUCAAAAGUAAGGUUUUCUGUCAUCAAGUGACAGGCUGUUUUUGAUUAACUCUCUUCAUCUCUGAAAAUAUUUCAUUCUCUAAAUUUUAAUUGCUUUUCUGACUUACAUUGAAGUUGAGGAAAUCACAGGGUAAACAUCAAGUGAAACAUCUUUAAAAGAAUAAAUGAUGAGAAAAUAAUCUGAGUAAAUCGAUACGUGUUCUGUCAGGCUGAAAAGCUAAGACACGAAUAUCUCAGACCUUUCUGAAAAGAAUGAAAACCAAAUAAAAAAAUCUUUAAUUAAAAAAAUCUGGGUAUAUAUAUAUGUUUAAACAUUACCUCUUGCCAGACCAGCACUUACCUGGCAUCUGCUCAGCUCUUCUAUUCUGCACAGGCUGUGGGGUCUAAGAGCACACUGGCAGCUCAGGCGAGCAUUUCCUGAAACAGAAAAGGCAGGAAUUAUUUGCUUAUCUACUUGGUUUCAAACACCAUCAACAUGUGGUAAAAAGGGAAAAAAAAAAAAAACAGCAAUGAGUAAGAAAGUGCAAGACUUUCAUUUUCAAAGACACCAUGGUUGCACAGCCUUGGGAAAAGCGAGAGGAACCCAAAUAACGUGCUAACAGUGCUGCCCGAGCAAGCCAGACAGAUCAUUUGCGUGGGAAGCAAAACUCCCAGGUCAAAUGGCUGCAAAAAAGGUGUCUUGAAAAUCACAUGUAAAAUUCUUUCCAUGUGCAUAUCUCAUUGCUUUGUGACCAGCCACCCUAGCCACAUAAGCGAACGUCUCCUUUAAAGCAGUUUCAGGGGCUCGUUCACACAAGCAGGUGCUUGUGCAACUGCAGGCAGAAAAUCUCUGGCUUCAGGUGCAGUGUGUACCCAUAUUAUCUCCUCUCCUUGCAGUGUGCCUGGUGGCUGAGCAGAGCUCGCUUCUCGCUCUCUGCCUGUGCCUGCAAUCUCACAUAAAUCUGAGGGUAGAUUAGUGAAACCUAA